UACGGAGGGGGCUAGCGUUGUUCGGAAUUACUGGGCGUAAAGCGCACGUAGGCGGAUUUGUAAGUCAGGGGUGAAAUCCCGGGGCUCAACCUCGGAACUGCCUUUGAUACUGCGAAUCUUGAGUCCGAUAGAGGUGGGUGGAAUUCCUAGUGUAGAGGUGAAAUUCGUAGAUAGUUAGGAAGAACACCGGUGGCGAAGGCGGCCCACUGGAUCGGUACUGACGCUGAGGUGCGAAAGCGUGGGGAGCAAACAGG
rnacentral:rRNA from 1 species